GAAAACUGAUCAUCUGCAAGUCUUUAAGUUGCACACAUACCCAUGUUGCCAUGACACUUGAAGGUCUGAGGAGCAUGCAGAGGCAAAUUACAGCUCCUGCGUCAUGGAAGCCUGGUAGAGUAGCAGAGCAUUGGGGUAUGGGAAAUAAUAAAUGUGUAUUUCCUGGUUUCUAGCACAUCUUGUCGGCUCAGCACCUUCAGGAGAGCAGGUCUACACUAGGCAGAGGUCUCCUGAGAUAGAAGUGACGACCAGUUGUCCUUCUGGAAGGAAAGCAAUGACCAGAUGGUGCCUGACCUGUGCUAAUUACUUUUCCUCCAAACCACUUCUGAACCAUUAUUUUUCUUUCUUCAUCCUCACCCAACAGUCUUCCUCCUCAGACUUCAGAAAUGGUCUCAGUUUACAGUGCCCUUUUUCACUUCUUCCCUGGAAAUCAUGUUUGUUUUGUGAUCACACCAGUUUAGCUUCUGCCCAUUUAAUACAUGCAGCCUUAUUUCUCAAUCUCAGUUUUUUUAGAUAUCAAGAGAAUAUAAGCCCCUUGUUUUCCCACUGCUUUAUACACAGCCACUCAUUUGUACAACACCCAAAGGAAUUGAGUCAUUUUUAUUGUUGCCUUCUUAAAGGGAUUAUUAAAAGACUGAGGUACUCACCAUACCAAGUCCUCCUUCUUUUAUCUCCUGCACUGGUGACACUGAGUCAAAGAUAAAUGUUUGGAGAACUGUAAGAAACCAAAUAGAUUGUCCAUCUCCAAGACAUGAUGGGGAAAAAAAAUCAUGUCUGUGCAACACAUUUACAGGAAAUUAAGGCUGUGCCAUCAGUAUCCUCAACAUAAUAGAGACAGGUUCUUGUAUGUCUCAGCCCAGAAAAGUAAUAGGAUAGGUACGUGGUGGCUAACACAGGUUUCUGAGAUUUAACCAUAUUAUUUCUGCACUUCUGUUUCCAAAUAAAGUAAGCAAUAGAUGUUGGUGUUUGAAUUCUUUAGGAUUAGUAAAGGUAAUCCUUUAAGUCAAGGAUGAUAAAGAUGAUAAUCAUAGAAUCGACUAUGUUGGUAAAGUCCUUUAAGAUCAUCAAGAACAACCAUUACACCAGGACUGCUAAGACCACCACUAAACUAUGUCCCUCUGCCGUGGUUCUAAGGCCAGUUACAUUAGCUGAGAGCUGGGGAUUAAUUUCUGUGUUUCAUAUAUCAAAGUUAAAAUCUGACAUUUAAACAGGGCACAUCUAGUACUCCAUUUUGCUGUACUCAGUUCUGGCAAUUUGUAGCUAACAGUCAAAUGCUGAAUAUGGACUAUGAAAUUUAAAAGGAUUUAAAAUUAUUCCUUCCAAACCUCAAGUUUUCUUUCUCUCUAAAUGAAUUCCUGUGGAAAGCAAAAAAGUUAAACUGAAAUAGUAGUAGAAGGAUUAAACAGAAUACUGUGGCUUUGGACAAAGGUCUGAGACCUCAGAUCACCAGCUCUGGCUUAGUAUAUAUAACAGUGUGAAAAUCAAGCAAACACUAAUAUAUGACCAACUCAUAUAGAGAUACCAGUUAAGUUAAAAUAAAGUAAGAUAAUUUGACAAAUUAAGUUGCAGAUUCAUAGAAAAGUAAAUCUUGAUCUCCUUCUGUCCCUGAUAAAGCCAACAGAGUUAUAACUAAGAUGGAAAUCCUCUCGGUUUGACAUGCAAGUCUACGUGCAUCAUACCAAUGAUGAAAAGCAAUCUGAGGUGGAGUGAGUUAGGAGAGACAAUAAGGACAACAAUUACCUUGACUGAGUGACAAACAGGGGUAUUUGAGGGACAAUGACUACAAAUGAGGAAAAGAAUCGUUCAAUUCGCCUAGGGCAAACCAAGAAGCUGUAUAAAAGCACCUGUAGCCCAGUGUCUUCAAACCACUUCUCUUCCAGACUCCUUCCACUUCUGCUGGUCAACCAGGCUUACUUCCAGCCAGAAAGAUGUCUUUCAAUGGACAGGUCUGCAACUAUGGCAGCUACUCAGCUGAUGAUGUGAACUGCCCCGCACCAUACGCCAAUGCCUGGAGCAGCGAGCCCUGUGUCGCCUCCUGUGGGGACUCCCGUGCUGUGGUCUACCCACCACCUGUGACCAUUGUCUUCCCAGGCCCCAUGCUCAGCUCCUGCCCUCAGGAGAGCAUUGUGGGCUCCUUAUCCCCACUGGGGAUAGGCAGCUCCUUUGGGUAUGGGAGCUCCCAGAAUAUGCAGAGCUCCUUUGGUUCUGGCAUGUCCCUGGGUGGCAGGUACUCCUAUCCCUGCUACUCCCGCAGCUAUGGGACAUACCACUCUGCAAAGUCUGGCAAGACUUCCCAGGAUAGCAAGACCCAAGAGAAGCCAAACCAAAACAAGAGCUCAUGAGUGAACAGAGAGAUGUGGCUUUAGAGAGGCAGUGAGAGUUCUCAGGAACAGGACACCCUCAUCCAUCCUGAGAAACAAGUCCAGAAUAUCAAUUUCCUCUGUAUAAUAGAUCUCUGCUCACCAUGUUCUGGCUGUGUGCCCUUUUCACUUUGCUUUAUGUGUAAAUUUAACUUAACUUCUCUGUGCCAUUCCCUGCAGUAUUCCUGUGGUCUGAUAAAUCUCAUUUGUCAGUUCCAAUAAAAUCCUUUCUGCAUCACA